rnacentral:rRNA from 1 species
UACGUAGGGCGCAAGCGUUGUCCGGAAUUAUUGGGCGUAAAGAGCUCGUAGGCGGCUUGUUGCGUCGGAUGUGAAAGCCCGGGGCUUAACCCCGGGUCUGCAUUCGAUACGGGCAGGCUAGAGUUCGGUAGGGGAGACUGGAAUUCCUGGUGUAGCGGUGAAAUGCGCAGAUAUCAGGAGGAACACCGAUGGCGAAGGCAGGUCUCUGGGCCGAUACUGACGCUGAGGAGCGAAAGCGUGGGGAGCGAACAGG